rnacentral:misc_RNA from 1 species
AUGAAAUUGCAAAUUCUAAAUUCUGAAUCUAAGUAUGAUAAAUUUGGAGUAGGAAAGCUCUUUAAAGUCCAAAACUGGACUUACUUUUUCAUGGCCUAUUAAAACAUGAGAUUGGUGGCCAAAAUUUUCUUUGAUGUUGAGAGAAUGCAGUGAAGACCACGGGAGGAAAAACUAGAAGUGAAAAGUGUGAGGCCGCGUGCUUAUAGUGCGGGCAGGCGUGUGCCCUACUCCGAGUGCUCUCAAGUUGAGUGAUUUGUGGGUUGAAUGAACCAACACCUCUGCACACGCCAAUUCUUCAACCAAUCAUCUUCAUUGUGCCCAUCCUUUGAUGGGUCUAGCCAUGCCGCGACCACAAGAGUGGGGAUGCUUUGUAAGUCUUUGUUUAGAUUAUUAUCUUCAGGGGCUCUGGUCGUUGGCUCCAGCUAGUUGAAUUUUGUAUUCCAAGU